CGUGGGUAAUCUGCCCUCUGAUGGGGAAUAACUCGCCGAAAGGCGAGCUAAUUCCGCAUAACAUUCCUUGGACUCCGGUCCGAGGAUUCAAAGGCGUAAGUCGUCGGAGGUGGAGCCCGCGCACGAUUAGCUAGUUGGUGAGGUAAUGGCUCACCAAGGCUAUGAUCGUUAGCUGGUCUGAGAGGAUGGCCAGCCACACUGGAACUGAGACACGGUCCAG
rnacentral:rRNA from 1 species